GCUUUAUCACAAUGAGGUUUCUGUGUUGGAGGAGCUAAGAGGCUGGCCGGCUAAUCGUCCUCCACAGAGAGCACACAUUCCUACAGAUUAGGGCCUGUCUGAGAUGGGAAGCUGGCUCCAGGCCCCCCAAUAAGCUGCGGGCCAGGGGCCACUCCAGCAAGAGAGAGGCAAAGGGAGGUGGAUGGAGAGGGAAGCGGCUUGCUGUGCCAAGGUGCUCAGAAACGAUGUGGAUGAGGUCGAGGACAUGAGGAGCCCACCAGAGAGAGAACAGAUGUCACAUGCCUCUUGCACCACGUUCAGGGAUGUAUGUGUAGGCGUGUGUGUGUAUGUGUGUUCUGUACGGUGACAGGUAGCGUGUCGUGGUUGAAAGGUAAGGCAGGGCCCAACUCCCAGUAGGAAAUUGAAUGAGAUGGGAGCCAAUAAACGGGGGUAUGGGGCAAUGGGAUAAAAAAGACAUGUAGGAAAAUAGAUUUUGGAUGUAGACACCUUGUUGUCUUGUGUUCAGUUUGUUCUUUACAAAAGCAUGUCAGUCAAAACUUGGGCUGUGAAAUUUCUCAUUGUUUUCUGAGCUUGGAAAAAAACCCAAUGAUCAAUAA